UGCUUUUUUCGCCCAGGCGGAGCUCGACCGCAAGCUCAAGUCGUAAGCCGCUACGCGUACAUCGAUCAACAUCGCGACGUCUUUGGGGUCGAGCCGAUCUGCCGCGUGUUGCAGAUCGCCCCG
rfam:Acidihalobacter prosperus strain DSM 5130 contig_01, whole genome shotgun sequence.